GGCGAUGUAGCUCGGUUGGUAGAGUGUUUGCUUUGCAUGCACAAGGCCAUGGGUUCAAGCCCCAGCACUCCCC
rnacentral:tRNA from 1 species